UGUGAUGAGAAUUGCCAUUCCUCUACAACUUCAGGUUGGACCUCGUAGCUUUUACCAUUGAGGUUGCUAUGAUUGGGUUCUAAGGUGAUGACAAAUCACUACAUAGGUCCAGGCGAAAAAUGUGUUGAUGUCCAUUGUUGCAGCGAUUCUUGGAGUUGGCGCCAUGUUUGGCUGUUUGAAAAUGGCUGACACCGUUACUAAGGGAUAAACUGGUAACUAAGCUUAGUCACGUGAUUUCUUUGGUCAAGUAGCCAAAGGGCGUAUGCUGGCAGCAUAAGGCUGAUACAAUGACACCAUUAAAUACACUACGAAAUAUGGGGUUUGUCAAAUGCUGAAAAUAGCAAAACUUAUGCAAGACAAUGAAGAAACACAAUACAUAAUUCUAAAAACCUUACGCAAAUAAAAUGUAGUUUCGGCUAGUUCAACAAAGCUAAAAUCACGUGACCAAGCUUUAGUCCCCGUCUUGUUUCUUGGUUACCGCGUCAGCCAUUUUGCAAAGAUCCAAAAAUGGUGCUGACAUGUAGGAUCGCUGUAAAGACUUGAAGUGAACCGAUUGUAAAUGAGAACUUGUUAGUUUUGGUUGCCAAUUAUUUAUAUACAGUUUUCAAAGUGAUUCAAGUUUGUUUGUUUUCCGAAACUCUUUGAUUCAAACAACUUGUGCUGAAUAAGGUAACAGGUAUCUCGUAAACAAAAUUACAGUUCCUUUGCUAUCAGUAUACGAAUCUCGGGAACAGAAACCGUUCGUACUUGUCAGACCGAUUCCAGCACACAGAAAUAAUGGUGUCCCUUCAACCGCUUCAACUUGGGUUAGCUAACAGUGUUAAUUGUCUAACUAGUCUACAUAGAGGCUUUCACAAAUGGAAAUGAGCAGGAUCCAACAGAAACCACAACCGGGAGAAACCACAGUAUGAAACAUGUUUUACUGUUUUAAUUUGAAAGCUCCUUUUGGUUGUUACUGCAUUAUUUAGAUAAGAUUUGAUAGAAAAGCAUUAAAAAAAAGCUAUAGUAAAAACAUCUUGUCAACCAAAAA